rnacentral:tRNA from 1 species
GAGGGUAUAGCUCAGUGGUAGAGUGCUUGCUUAGCAUGCAGGAGGUCCUGGGUUCAAUCCCCAGUACCUCCA